rnacentral:rRNA from 1 species
GAUGAACGCUGGCGGCGUGCCUAAUACAUGCAAGUCGAGCGAACGGACGAGAAGCUUGCUUCUCUGAUGUUAGCGGCGGACGGGUGAGUAACACGUGGAUAACCUACCUAUAAGACUGGGAUAACUUCGGGAAACCGGAGCUAAUACCGGAUAAUAUUUUGAACCGCAUGGUUCAAAAGUGAAAGACGGUCUUGCCGUCACUUAUAGAUGGAUCCGCGCUGCAUUAGCUAGUUGGUAAGGCAACGGCUUACCAAGGCAACGAUGCAUAGCCGACCUGAGAGGGUGAUCGGCCACACUGGAACUGAGACACGGUCCAGACUCCUACGGGAGGCAGCAGUAGGGAAUCUUCCGCAAUGGGCGAAAGCCUGACGGAGCAACGCCGCGUGAGUGAUGAAGGUCUUCGGAUCGUAAAACUCUGUUAUUAGGGAAGAACAUAUGUGUAAGUAACUGUGCACAUCUUGACGGUACCUAAUCAGAAAGCCACGGCUAACUACGUG